CCAAAAUGGCCACUCGAGUUCUAAAUUAUGUAUUGUUACAUUGGUCCAAUUAGUUAAAAAUGUGCAUGAGACUGAACUGUAAUUUUUAAGUGUAAAACCCAGACAGAGGAUGCUCCUGAGAAAUUUUAACAGAUUGGGAUACCAUUACUCAAAACCAGAUCUUCAGAAAGCAGAAGAGCACUCACCAGGAAGGACAACGCCUUCAUAAAAAUGACAACAAAAAAACAGAUCCUGAGUAAAGUCAGACCAAAAGCCAACCAGAAGGAGCUUGGAUCUAAGAGGAGACUCCCUGAACCGAAAGGAAAGAGAUGACCCAUGGAAGCAGAGAAACAGCUCAGGAGCUCAUCGUUCGUGGAGUGAGCAGCUGGACUGUUGACAGUCCUUUUACCCACGCUUGGAGAGAGCCUGCUCAAGGCAUGGAGAGCGAGACCAGCUGCAGGGAGAUCAUCUGAGGCUCUGGAUCCAUGUGUGCCCGAAACAGCACACGCACCAGAGCCCCCGACUUGUGAUUGAAUAGUUCUCUUUUCUGCUUAUUCUGUUUGAAUUCAGCUUCCAUCUUUGUCACUGAAAGAGGACUCCAAAAAUAGUUAUAUAUCCCUAGGUUCUGGGUAUACUUCAGUUUCAUAUUUUAUUACUUAUGGAAUAUUUUUGUCUGCUCACUGCUUACUAAUAAUAACAAUAACAAUAAUAGUUCCUAUGCCUGAUCUCUCUGCCAGCCUGGCAAUAAUUAUUAGGUUAAGUAAUUUGUUUAAAGAAUGAGGAGCAGAGGUGGGAUUUAAACUCGAAUUUGUCUGAUUGUACAUCUGUGAGUUUCCUACUACAGCAAAGCUCCUCUUCACCUUGAGGUAAAAAUAUUUUCCAUCUGAAUGCAUCUUUGACAUUACAAUGAAAGUCAGUAAAUAAA
rnacentral:lncRNA from 1 species